AUGGCGCAGGCUGCUUUCGCGCACUUUGAUGGGAUCCUGGGCAGGGUCGUCAACCGUGAUCUCACACUUGACUUGGAGGGGCUCAUUGAGCCUUGCGACCUGUCGAGUCUGGACGCUCCUUUCAGCAUGGAGGAGGUAUGGGACGCGAUCAAAUGCCUCCCCGCUUGCAAGGCACUGGGGCCCGACGGGUUUACUGCCGAGUUCUUGCGGGCUUGCUGGACCAUUGUUCGGCAAGACUUUAUGGAUGUCUUCCAGCAGCUGUUCGAGAUGAGAGGCCGUGGCUUUGGCAAGCUCAACCAAGCCCUCAUGACCUUGCUGCCCAAACGAGCCGACGCCCAGCAGCUGCGUGACUACCGUCCGAUCUGCUUGAUACAUCUUGUGGCCAAGAUUUUCACCAAGGUCCUAUCUUUGCGGCUUGCUCCCAGACUGGAUAGCUUGGUCAGCCGCAACCAGAACGCGUUCAUCACCGGCCGGAGCCUUCACGACAACUUCAUUCUCGUGAGGCAAUCUCUCAAGAUGCUACACCAACUCGGGGCCCCGCGGAUCAUGCUUAAGCUCGACCUCACGCGCGCCUUUGACUCCAUAUCUUGGCCAUUCGUCUUCGAGGUUUUGCGACAAUAUGGAUUCGGGGAAAGAUUCCGGGACCGCAAUGGCCUGCGACAGGGCGCUCUAUGCCCCCCCCCCAAGCUGUUUGUUCUCGCUGUGGACACGCUCGGGCGGCUGAUGCGCCGCGCUCUCGACGCUGGCAUCUUGCAGCAGUUACAUCCCCGACGCCCAAUCCUGGCGAUCUCCCUCUAUGCUGACGAUGUGAUGCUCUUCUGCCAUGCUACACCGGAGGAUGUAGCCGCCGUCAAGGGUAUCUUGACCCUGUUCGGCAAAGCGAGUGGGCUGCUGGUUAACUAUGCGAAGAGCUCUGCCACCGUCCUGCACAGCGACCUACAGGGACACGAGGUGAUCGCCUAG
rnacentral:rRNA from 1 species